UCAUAUUAGUUUGUUUGGUUGUUUGGUUUGAGACAAGGUUUCAAGUAGUCCAGGCUAGCUUCAAACUUUCUCCUAAGUUGGUGAUGACCUUAAGCUGCUGAUCCUUCUGCUUCUACCUUCCUCGUUUCCGGGCUCAUAGGCAUGUGCCACCACGAUAACAUAUCAGUGCUGGGCUCAAGCCCACGGCCGUGCACAUUCUAGGCAAGCUCUCUACCAGUUAAACUACAACCUAGUCCCCUUCCCCUCUAUUUUGACAUAGAGUCUCACUGGCUGGCCUGGAACUCACAGAGGCUGGCCUGCCUUCGCUCCCAAGUCCUGGGAUUGAAAGAGGACAUCACCAUACCCUGCCCCGACACAGCUUUCAAAGUAUCCAAAAUACUUAAGGAGUAAUUACAUAUGGAUAUAAACAUGGUGAAAGAUCAGGAAAGAAACACAAAUUAUUAAAAAGAAUAAAGUAGACUAUAUAGACUUGAGAAGUAUGUUAAUCAAAAGCCUUGUUCAGGGCUGGAGCGAGGACUCCGCAGUUAAGAGCACUGGCUGCUCUUCUACAGGAUCAGGACUCAGUUCCCAGCACCCACAGGGCGGCUCACAACCCUCCGUCACCCCAGUCCUGGGGACCUGAUGCCCUCUUCUGGCCAUUUUGGGCACUGCAUGUAGGAGGGGCACAGACAUACAUGCAGGUAAAAACAUCUGUCCAUACACAUAAAUUUUUUUAAAAAGUAAGAAAGAAAGAAAAGAAAAGCCCUUCAGAAAUAGAGAGAGGGUUCAGCAGCACCAACAACUCCAAUGGGCUCCAACAAAAGACUCCAAUGGGCGUUUGUAGAACACUCUAUCCAGCAGGAGCAGAAUAUAUAUUCUUUUAACAUGCCCAAUAAAUGACCACCAACAGUCAUAAGCCAUGUUCUGAGUCAUAAAACAAACUACCACAAAAUUUAAAAAAAAAAUGAUAAAAUGUAUUUAUGAAGGAGGCAGAGGCAGGAGAAUCUCUGUGAGUUUGAGGCCAGCCUGGUCUAAAUAGCCAGUUCCAGAACAAUGAGACCCUGUAUCAUAAAAAGAGACAAAAUUAUGUAUACAUCACUAAAGACAUAUCUAUAUCUGUAUCUCCCUUAGUUGUUAAGGUGCUCACCGCUGAGCUCAGUCCUCACACACAACAGCUGGGUACAGCAGUGCACACCCAUAACCACACACUAGGGAGGCAGAGACCGGGCGAUCCCUGGGCUUUGCUGGUGAGCUCCGAGUUCAGUGAGAACUCCUUAAUGGGUGUGCUAAUUGGCACUCCUACAAGUAGUGAAUAAGGGUUCCUUUUGCCUGCAUCCUCCCCUAAUAUUAUUGUCAGUGUUCUUGACGAUUGCCACUGUGUCAUUUUAUCAGACCGGUUGCUAAACGGCAAGUUGGUUCCUUGGUAGUUUGAGUUUCACAUGGCCCCGUUGGUUUGGGUAUCUGAAGACUUGUUUCCCAGAUGGUGGGUGCCGUCUGGGGAGGUUUCGGUAGCGCAGCCUUGCUGGAGGUGAGUAUGUCACUGGGAGUGGGCUUUGAGGUUUCAAAAUCCCACGCCAGGCCCAGUCUCUCUGUCUCUCUGCCUCUGUCUGUCUCAUUCCCUGUCUCUGUCUCCCCGCCUUGUGCCCAUGCAUGGGAUGUAAGUUUGCAGCUCCUUCUCCAGCGCCUGCCCGCCUGCCUGCCGCCAUGCUCCCCACCGUGAAGACAAGGAACUAAAUCUCUGAAACUGUAAGCAAGCCUCCAGGAACCCUUGAAAAGGCGUGAGCUGGCCUCCCACAGAUGGCAUCUGAACAGGGACUUGGGGGCACGGGAAAUAAGGGAGAGUAGGGAGCAUUGUGGAAGCAGCUGAGCACGUCUGGUUAUGAAUUAAAGUUAAGACAGUGGUCUUUUAUUCUUCUGGAGCAAAAACGGUAUAUAGAUAAAGCAGAAUAGUUCAAGCUGGGCUGCAGCAUCUCUGUCUAUGUCUAUGGUGAUGCCAGAGCCAUGGGAUGUCUGCAGAGGAAAGCUGCAGACAAGGAGUGGAACCAGCCCCCAGAGAGAGGAAAGCUGCAUUCAACAAAGCCGGAAGGAGUAGUCGAUCUGAAGAACCAUCUAAGCAUUUUAAUAUCAGAAGAGACUUUGAAUUUUUAAACAGUGUUGAAAUUGUGAAAGACUUUAGGGACUUUUAAGCUGGACUAAAUAAAUAUUGCAUUAUGAUAUGGCCACGAUAUGGCCAGGGAAUGGAAUGUGGUGGUUUGAAGAACGGCUCCCAUAGGCUUGGGUAUUUGAACAUUUGGCUCCCAGCUGGUGGUACUGUUUAGGGAGCUGUAGCCUUGCUGGAGGAAGUACAUCAUUUGGGGUGGGCUUUGGGAUUGUAUAGCCUCUCCCUCCUACCAGUUUGUUCAUUUUGGUUGGUGUUUGUGGUGUAUAUGGGAGCUUUUGCUCAUAGUAUUUUAUCAAAGCAACAGAAAAGUAACUAAUACACUUUGCAUUUAGUUUCUGCAGUUCCUUGUAAAUUCUGGAUAUCGGUCCUCUGUCUAAAGUACAGCUAGCUGGUAAAGAUUUUCUCCUAUUCUAUGCACUGUUUUCUCUGCUAACAGUUUCUUUGGCUGUGCAAAAACUUUAUUUUCAUGUAGUCCCAUCUGUUGAUUCCUGAGGCUUGUGAUUCUUGUGUUGUGGGAACAAAUUAAUACAACCAUUAUGGAAGUUA